GACGAACGCUGGCGGCGUGCUUAACACAUGCAAGUCGAGCGGUAAGGCCCUUUCGGGGGUACACGAGCGGCGAACGGGUGAGUAACACGUGGGUGACCUGCCCUCAGCUCUGGGAUAAGCCCUGGGAAACCGGGUCUAAUACCGGAUAUGACUCCAUGACGCAUGUUGUGGGGUGGAAAGCCUUGUGCGGCUGAGGAUGGGCCCGCGGCCUAUCAGCUUGUUGGUGGGGUGAUGGCCUACCAAGGCGACGACGGGUAGCCGGCCUGAGAGGGCGACCGGCCACACU
rnacentral:rRNA from 1 species